ACUCCACACUGGACUGUCCGGGGCCGGAUCUCAACUCAUUGAUCAACUGCUGCAUCCCGCAGGAACCAAGUGAACACCUACAUCACAAUUAUAAUGUAUCACGUUAUAAAUUCGAUUAAAAAUCCAAAAUAAACAUUUACC
rnacentral:misc_RNA from 1 species